GUGCCUGUGGCUCAAUUGGAUAGAGCAUUGGACUGCGGAUCCAAAGAUUGCCGGUUCAAUUCCGGCCAGGCACGCCA
rnacentral:tRNA from 1 species